UACGAAGGGGGCUAGCGUUGUUCGGAAUUACUGGGCGUAAAGCGCACGUAGGCGGAUAUUUAAGUCAGGGGUGAAAUCCCAGAGCUCAACUCUGGAACUGCCUUUGAUACUGGGUAUCUUGAGUAUGGAAGAGGUAAGUGGAAUUCCGAGUGUAGAGGUGAAAUUCGUAGAUAUUCGGAGGAACACCAGUGGCGAAGGCGGCUUACUGGUCCAUUACUGACGCUGAGGUGCGAAAGCGUGGGGAGCAAACAGGAU
rnacentral:rRNA from 1 species